rnacentral:rRNA from 1 species
ACAGUUUGAUCAUGGCUCUUGACGAACGCUGGCGGCGUGCCUAACACGUGCAAUUCUAACGGAGAAUUUCCAACAGUUUACUCAAAGAAGUUCUUAGUGGCGGACGGGUGAUUAACGCGUGGGUUACCUACCCAUAAAGUCCGGACAACCCUUGGUGACUAGGGCUAAUACCGAAUAAUCUUAGAUGCUGGGAUGCCUGUUUAAGGAAAGGUGGCCUCUGUCUAUGCUACCGAUUAUGGAUGGACCCGCGUCUGAUUAUCUUCUUGGUGGGGUAAAGGCAUACCAAGGCGACGAUCAUUAUCCGGCCUGAGAGGGUGAACGGCCACCCUGGGACUGAGACACCGCCCAGACUCCUACGGGAGGCAGCAGUGAGGAAUCUUCCGCAAUGGACGAAAGUCUGACCGACCAACGCCGCGUGUAUGAUGAAUGUCUUUGGAUUGUAAAGUACUGUCUUUGGGGAAUAAUGACUGGCUUGAAAAUAUUGAGUCAGUAUGACGGUACCCAAGGAGGAAGCCCCGGCUAACUACGUGCCAGCAGCCGCGGUAAUACGUAGGGGGCAAGCGUUGUCCGGAGUUAUUGGGCGUAGAAGGCGCGUACGCGUAUUUUUAAGUCUGGGGUGAAAGAUCAGGGCUCAACCCUGACAGUGCAUCGGAAACUGGAGAUCUUGAGGACAGGACAGGAAAGUGCAAUUCCACGUGUAGCGUUGAAAUGCGUACAUAUGUGGAGGAACACCAGUGGCGAAGGCGACUUUCUGGACUGUAACUGACGCUGAGGCGCGACACCCUGUAGUGCAAACAUGAUUAGAUACCCUGCUAGUCCACGCUGUAAACGAUGAGUGCUAGGUGUACAGGGUAUCUCCCCUGCUGGGCUUCAGUUAACACACAGCGCACUCCCCUGGGAGUACGGACUCUAAGCUGAAACUCAAAUGAGUGACG